rnacentral:rRNA from 1 species
CAGCAGCCACGGGAAUACAGAGGGUGCGAGCGUUAAUCGGAUUUACUGGGCGUAAAGCGCACGCAGGCGGUCUGUCAAGUCAGAUGUGAAAUCCCCGGGCUUAACCUGGGAACUGCAUUUGAAACUGGCAGGCUAGAGUCUUGUAGAGGGGGGUAGAAUUCCAGGUGUAGCGGUGAAAUGCGUAGAGAUCUGGAGGAAUACCGGUGGCGAAGGCGGCCCCCUGGACAAAGACUGACGCUCAGGUGCGAAAGCGUGGGGAGCAAACAGGAUUAGAUACUCGAGUAGUCCCUGUCUCUUAUAC